rnacentral:rRNA from 1 species
AUACGAAAGGUGCAAGCGUUGUUCGGAUUUACUGGGCGUAAAGAGAUCGUAGGUGGUUUGUUAAGUUGGAUGUGAAAUCCCGGGGCUCAACCUCGGAACUGCAUCCAAAACUGGCAGACUUGAGUUCGGGAGGGGUAAGCGGAAUUCCGUGUGUAGCAGUGAAAUGCGUAGAUGUACGGAGGAACACCUGAGGCGAAGGCGGCUUACUGGACCGAUACUGACACUGAGGAUCGAAAGCGUGGGUAGCAAACAGGAUUAGAAACCCCAGUAGUCC